AUUGAACGCUGGCGGCAGGCCUAACACAUGCAAGUCGAACGAGUGGCGGACGGGUGAGUAAUGUCUGGGAAACUGCCUGAUGGCGGGGGAUAACUACUGGAAACGGUAGCUAAUACCGCAUACCAUCGGAUGUGCCCAGAGGGGCUUAGGUAGGAGGUGGGGUAAAGGCACGCCGAGGCGACGAUCCCUAGCUGGUCUGAGAGGAUGACCAGCCACACGGGAACUGAGACACGGUCCAGACUCCUGCGGGAGGCAACAGUGGGGAAUAUUGCACAAUGGGCGCAAGCCUGAUGCAGCCAUGCCGCGUGUAUGAAGAAGGCCUUCGGGUUGGAAAGUACUUUCAGCGGGGAGGCGUUAUCCGCAGAAGAAGCACCGGCUAACUCCGUGCCAGCAGCCGCGGUAAUAC
rnacentral:rRNA from 1 species